rfam:Ornithorhynchus anatinus chromosome 1, whole genome shotgun sequence.
AGCAGCGUGGCUUAAGGGAAAGAGCCUGGGCUUGGGAGUCAGAGGUCAUGAGUUCGAAUCCCAGCACUGCCA